GAUGAACGCUGGCGGCGUGCCUAAUACAUGCAAGUCGAGCGAACAGACGAGGAGCUUGCUCCUCUGACGUUAGCGGCGGACGGGUGAGUAACACGUGGAUAACCUACCUAUAAGACUGGGAUAACUUCGGGAAACCGGAGCUAAUACCGGAUAAUAUAUUGAACCGCAUGGUUCAAUAGUGAAAGACGGUUUUGCUGUCACUUAUAGAUGGAUCCGCGCCGCAUUAGCUAGUGGUAAGGUAACGGCUUACCAAGGCGACGAUGCGUAGCCGACCUGAGAGGGUGAUCGGCCACACUGGAACUGAGACACGGUCCAGACUCCUACGGGAGGCAGCAGUAGGGAAUCUUCCGCAAUGGGCGAAAGCCUGACGGAGCAACGCCGCGUGAGUGAUGAAGGUCUUCGGAUCGUAAAACUCUGUUAUUAGGGAAGAACAAAUGUGUAAGUAACUAUGCACGUCUUGACGGUACCUAAUCAGAAAGCCACGGCUAACUACGUG
rnacentral:rRNA from 1 species